GACUGUGAGGGCGAUCUGGCUGCGACAUCUGUCACCCCAUUGAUCACCAGGGUUGAUUCGGCUGAUCUGGCUGGCUAGGCGGGUGUCCCCCUCCUCCCUCACAGAUCCACGUGCAUCCCUCCUGAAGCUGAGUGCUCAGUUGAAGAGGACAACCUUUCCCCCAGAGGAAAGGACUAGUUUAUGGUCAAGGGUAUACGAGUAGCUGCGCUCCGCUGCUAGGACCUCCAAACAAGCUCUCAUAAAUAAGUUGAAUUUCUUCUAAGAAUACACAUUUGAUAAGACUUUAAAAGCAAGUCAUGGCAUU
rnacentral:snRNA from 1 species